rnacentral:rRNA from 1 species
AAAACUUUCAACAACGGAUCUCUUGGUUCUGGCAUCGAUGAAGAACGCAGCGAAAUGCGAUAAGUAAUGUGAAUUGCAGAAUUCCGUGAAUCAUCGAAUCUUUGAACGCACAUUGCGCCCUUUGGUAUUCCGAAGGGCAUGCCUGUUCGAGCGUCAUAG